AGUGAACGCUGGCGGUAUGCCUAACACAUGCAAGUCGAACGGCAGCACAGUAAGAGCUUGCUCUUACGGGUGGCGAGUGGCGGACGGGUGAGGAAUACAUCGGAAUCUACUUUUUCGUGGGGGAUAACGUAGGGAAACUUACGCUAAUACCGCAUACGACCUACGGGUGAAAGCAGGGGAUCUUCGGACCUUGCGCGAUUGAAUGAGCCGAUGUCGGAUUAGCUAGUUGGCGGGGUAAAGGCCCACCAAGGCGACGAUCCGUAGCUGGUCUGAGAGGAUGAUCGGCCACACUGGAACUGAGACACGGUCCAGACUCCUACGGGAGGCAGCAGAGGGGAAUAUUGGACAAUGGGCGCAAGCCUUAUCCAGCCAUACCGCGUGGGUGAAGAAGGCCUUCGGGUUGUAAAGCCCUUUUGUUGGGAAAGAAAAGCAGCAGGUUAAUACCCCGCUGUUCUGACGGUACCCAAAGAAUAAGCACCGGCUAACUUCGUG
rnacentral:rRNA from 1 species